GAUGAACGCUGGCGGCGUGCUUAACACAUGCAAGUCGAACGGUGAACGAGGGAGCUUGCUCCUUCCGGAUCAGUGGCGAACGGGUGAGUAACACGUGAGCAAUCUGCCCCGAACUCUGGGAUAAGCGCUGGAAACGGCGUCUAAUACCGGAUACGACGCGCGAAGGCAUCUUCUGCGCGUGGAAAGAAUUUCGGUUCGGGAUGAGCUCGCGGCCUAUCAGCUAGUUGGUGAGGUAACGGCUCACCAAGGCGACGACGGGUAGCCGGCCUGAGAGGGUGACCGGCCACACUGGGACUGAGACACGGCCCAGACUCCUACGGGAGGCAGCAGUGGGGAAUAUUGCACAAUGGGCGCAAGCCUGAUGCAGCAACGCCGCGUGAGGGACGACGGCCUUCGGGUUGUAAACCUCUUUUAGCAGGGAAGAAGCGAAAGUGACGGUACCUGCAGAGAAAGCACCGGCUAACUACGUGCCAGCCGCCGCUGUAAGAC
rnacentral:rRNA from 1 species